rnacentral:rRNA from 1 species
UACGCAAGUCAUUGGGACUUUGCGAAGCCUAAAGGCGUAAUGAAAGUAAAGGUUCGCUCCUCGGAGCGGAUCAAGGGAGGAUGAGGUGCGUUACGGCGCACCUCCGCACUCCCGGGGCGUCUCGUUCUCAUUACGAGAUGAGGCGCACCUAGAGCGUACACGCUGGGACCCGAAAGAUGGUGAACUAUGCCUGGUCAGGACGAAGUCAGGGGAAACCCUGAUGGAGGUCCGUAGCGAUUCUGACGUGCAAAUCGAUCGUCGGAACUGGGUAUAGCGGCGAAAGACUAAUCGAACCAUCUAGUAGCUCGUUC